CUUUCCUUCGGGACAGAGGAGACAGGUGGUGCAUGGUUGUCGUCAGCUCGUGUCGUGAGAUGUUGGGUUAAGUCCCGCAACGAGCGCAACCCUUGAUCUUAGUUGCCAGCAUUUCGGAUGGGCACUCUAAGGUGACUGCCGGUGACAAACCGGAGGAAGGUGGGGAUGACGUCAAAUCAUCAUGCCCCUUAUGACCUGGGCUACACACGUACUACAAUGGCCGGUACAACGGGCUGUGAAGCCGC
rnacentral:rRNA from 1 species